rnacentral:rRNA from 1 species
GACGAACGCUGGCGGCGUGCUUAACACAUGCAAGUCGAACGGUAAGGCCCUUCGGGGUACACGAGUGGCGAACGGGUGAGUAACACGUGGGUGAUCUGCCCUGCACUUCGGGAUGAGCCUGGGGAACUGGGUCUAAUACCGGAUAGGACCACUGCCUGCAUGGGUGGUGGUGGAAAGCUUUUGCGGUGUGGGAUGGGCCCGCGGCCUAUCAGCUUGUUGGUGGGGUGAUGGCCUACCAAGGCGACGACGGGUAGCCGGCCUGAGAGGGUGACCGGCCACACUGGGACUGAGAUACGGCCCAGACUCCUACGGGAGGCAGCAGUGGGGAAUAUUGCACAAUGGGCGCAAGCCUGAUGCAGCGACGCCGCGUGAGGGAUGACGGCCUUCGGGUCGUAAACCUCUUUCAGCACCGACGAAGCGCAAGUGACGGUAGGUGCAGAAGAAGGACCGGCCAACUACGUGCCAGCCGCCGCAGUAA